rnacentral:miRNA from 1 species
AGAGAAAAUUCAUUCCAACGC